rnacentral:rRNA from 1 species
CCCUUCGAUGUUCUGGGCUGCACGCGCGCUACAAUGGCAACGACAGAGAGCGUGAAUUAAUUAUAGAGUCGCAUCGAGAGAUGUGACGAAUCAGCAAUCGUUGUCGUGAUUGGGAUUGAGCGUUGUAAUAUUUGCUCAUGAAAGAGGAAUUCCUCGUAAGCGCGAGUCACCAACUCGUGUUGAAUACGUCUCUGCCCUUUGUACACACCGCCCGUCGCUACUACUGAUUGAACUGGUUUUUGAAGUGUAGAGAUUGGCAGGUAUGUUUACGUGCAUUGCAAAGAACCACUCUGAAAAAAUCGUUCGAGAAGAAGUAAAAGUCGUAACA